AUCAAUAAGCGGGAGGA
rnacentral:rRNA from 1 species